UUAGGGUUAGAUUUUGAAAUCUUAUCUUUUGUUUUUUUUUUUUAACUUUUUGACAUAUAUUUGUUUAGUGACUAUCUAAUAACUUGAUUUAAACAGUUUCUAAGUAUCUUAAAAGCUUAAGGAAGUUUUUUUUUGUUUAGUUAUUUGAUUAUAGGGUCUGGAAGACUCACAGAAUACUUCCCAAGAAGUCUAAUGACAUAUCUCACCUAAAUUUUAGUAGAAUUUAGGGUUUCCGCCUAACUUUUAAAAUAAUUUAGGUUUCCUGCCAAAAUUGAAGUCUUCC
rnacentral:lncRNA from 1 species